GACGAACGCUGGCGGCGUGCUUAACACAUGCAAGUCGAACGGAAAGGCCCUGCUUUUGUGGGGUGCUCGAGUGGCGAACGGGUGAGUAACACGUGAGUAACCUGCCCUUGACUUUGGGAUAACUUCAGGAAACUGGGGCUAAUACCGGAUAGUAGCUCCUGCUGCAUUGUGGGGGUUGGAAAGUGUCGGGGGUUGGGGAUGGACUCGCGGCUGAUCAGCUUGUUGUUGGGGUAGUGGCUUACCAAGGGUUUGACGGGUAGCCGGCCUGAGAGGGUGACCGGUCACAUUGGGACCGGGAUACGGCCGGGAGUCGUACGGGAGGCAGUAGUGGGGAAUAUUGCACAAUGGGCGGAAGCCGGAUGGAGCGACGCCGCGGGCUGGAUGAUGGGCUUCGGGUUGGAAACCGCUUUCGCCUGUGACGAAGUGGGAGUGACGGUAAUGGGUAAAGAAGCGCCGGCUAACUACGUG
rnacentral:rRNA from 1 species